rnacentral:rRNA from 1 species
AUUGAACGCUGGCGGCAGGCCUAACACAUGCAAGUCGAGCGAGCGGCGGACGGGUGAGUAAUGUCUGGGAAACUGCCUGAUGGAGGGGGAUAACUACUGGAAACGGUAGCUAAUACCGCAUACCAUCAGAUGUGCCCAGAGGGGAUUCGCUAGUAGGUGGGGUAACGGCUAACCCAGGCGACGAUCCCUAGCUGGUCUGAGAGGAUGACCAGCCACACUGGAACGGAGACACGGUCCAGACUCCUACGGGAGGCAGCAGUGGGGAAUAGUGCACAAUGGGCGCAAGCCUGAUGCAGCCAUGCCGCGUGUAUGAAGAAGGCCUUCGGGUUGUAAAGGACUUUCAGCGGGGAGGCGUUACCCGCAGAAGAAGCACCGGCUAACUCCGUGCCAGCAGCCGCGGUAAUUC